GCCCUGUGGUUACUGGACGCUGUUUGCAAGUACAGCUCUCCAGUGGAUAUGAAGGGCCAGAGCAAUCCUGUGAUGUAUGCGUGGGGGCUGUUUCUCUCAGCAGCCGCCACAGCCCGGUCACUGAUACAUAG
ensembl:snoRNA SNORA84 small nucleolar RNA, H/ACA box 84